rnacentral:rRNA from 1 species
UGGGGAAUUUUGGACAAUGGGCGAAAGCCUGAUCCAGCAAUGCCGCGUGUGUGAAGAAGGCCUUCGGGUUGUAAAGCACUUUUGUCCGGAAAGAAAUCCUUGGCUCUAAUACAGUCGGGGGAUGACGGUACCGGAAGAAUAAGCACCGGCUAACUACGUGCCAGCAGCCGCGGUAAUACGUAGGGUGCAAGCGUUAAUCGGAAUUACUGGGCGUAAAGCGUGCGCAGGCGGUUUGCUAAGGCCGAUGUGAAAUCCCCGGGCUCAACCUGGGAACUGCAUUGGUGACUGGCAGGCUAGAGUAUGGCAGAGGGGGGUAGAAUUCCACGUGUAGCAGUGAAAUGCGUAGAGAUGUGGAGGAAUACCGAUGGCGAAGGCAGCCCCUGGGCCAAUACUGACGCUCAUGCACGAAAAGCGUGGGGGAGCAAAA